CUUCUGAUUUCAUUGAUGCAAAAGGAACAUCUACAAUGUCCUGUACUUAAGCAACCUCACAAUUUUCUGUGUGAACACAUCAUUUACUGCCAGCUGAAGGUCAUGAACAAUGCAUGCACAUUUGAUGGUACCUACGCACUUGUGAAGGUGGAAUCACGAUGUGAUGAAAUUGCAUGCAAACCAACCAAUCCAAAUAGCUACACAGCAUUAAACUUGUAACAAAACAAUGUUAUAGUUACCAGAAGUAAGGCAUGCCAACUAACGUGUUGAAUUUAACUCCUGUUCUCCUUUAAAAUCGUGUACAAAGAAGCAUUGAUGAUUGAAGAUUAUCGUAAUUGGCAUUCACGAAGAAAAUGGCGUCACAUCACACUAGUCACGGAACAAGGUACGAUUUCGUCAUAAGAAAACACAUUUCACAAUCACAAUAAAACAUCACAAGAUUUAAAACAUGCGAAAUAAGUCAAUUUUUUGGAAAAUUACUCACUUUGAAUAUGAAUUCCAAAGAAAAUCAUCCAAAAACUUAAAGAUUGAUGACAAGGCACUCCACUCUCCGUUUGCAAAA